AGCAGAAACACCUUCAUCAGUAAAGAACUCUGAGAGGAAGUGUGAUGUCUGGAGCUUGCAUUUUGCAAUAAUAUUAGACAGAUGUUUCUUGAAGACAUGGUUUGUACGGGAUACAAGAAAGACGAACAGAUCCCGAAAGCAGCAUAACCAGUUCUCAUUCUUAUCCAAAGGUUCUGUUUCAGCUGCUAUUUUACUAAACGACCCAAGCAGCCUCCAAAACAAGCAAGUCAGAAUUUCACCAUUGACUUCUUUCGGGCUGGUAGCAAGCAUAUGCUUAAUGAUUAU
rnacentral:misc_RNA from 1 species